AUUGAACGCUGGCGGCGUGCUUAACACAUGCAAGUCGAACGAGAAAGGGACUUCGGUCCUGAGUAGAGUGGCGCACGGGUGAGUAACGCGUAGAUAAUCUACCUCUGCAUCUGGGAUAACAGUUCGAAAGGACUGCUAAUACCGGAUACACUCAUAUGCCGCAAGGUGUAUGAGGAAAGGAGACCUCUCCUUGGAAGUUUCUGUGUAGAGAUGAGUCUGCGUCCCAUUAGCUAGUUGGCAGGGUAAGAGCCUACCAAGGCGACGAUGGGGUAGCGGGUCUGAGAGGAUGAUCCGCCACACUGGAACUGAAACACGGACCAGACUCCUACGGGUGCUG
rnacentral:rRNA from 1 species